rnacentral:rRNA from 1 species
AUGAAGGGCCUCAUAGCUCGGCUAUGGCCUGGAGAAGUCAUGCCUGGGAGCUACUUCGGUCUGGUGCGGCGGCUGGUGGACGCGUGUCCAUGGAUUGAGGUCGUCAAGCGCUCCGUUUGUAUUGAAGGUGCCCGUCGGGCCCUUGCCCGUGCUAAGGUGCACUGGGGCAAGCUAGAUGCCGAGAAGCUGUUGACGGACGCGCCACCACCGGGCAAGGAGUAUCGUACGCCCGAGAUGUAUUAUAAUGGCGUUCUGAAGGGUGCCCGCCUUAUAAGGGAUGAGUGCUCCAAAGAUGUAAUUUUUGAGUAG